UCCAUUGCUCAGUUGGUAAAAGCACAAAGCUCUUAACCUUGUGGACGUGGGUUCAAGCCCUACGAUGGAA
rnacentral:tRNA from 1 species